rnacentral:rRNA from 1 species
GUUGAACGCUGGCGGCAGGCCUAACACAUGCAAGUCGAACGGAAGAAGGGAGCUUGCUCCUGGUGUCAGCGUCGGGAGCGUGAGUGAUACCUGGGAAUCUGCCGGGUAGUGGUGGGGAACGACCUGAAACGGGCGCGGAUACCACCUACGUGCUGAGGGGGAAGGUGGGGGGGGUUCGGAAAGCACGCUAUGAGAGGGGCCUAGGUCGGAUGAGCUAGUUGGUGGGGUGAGGGCCUGCCAAGGCGACGAUCCGUAACUGGUCUGAGAGGAUGAUCAGUCACACUGGAACUGAGACACGGUCCAGACUCCUACGGGAGGCAGCAGUGGGGAAUAUUGGACAAUGGGCGAAAGCCUGAUCCAGCCAUGCCGCGUGUGUGAAGACGGCCUUCGGAUUGUAAAGCACUUUAAGGUGUGAGGAAGGGCAGUAAGUUAAUACCUUGCUGGUUUGACGUUACCAACAGAAUAAGCACCGGCUAACUUCGUG